rnacentral:lncRNA from 1 species
AUCUCUACUGAUGUGGAGAAACAAGUGAUAGGAGGGAAGAAAAUCAACGUAACAGAGAACCCUGAAAAAGCUCUGUUAGAUCCAAACCGCUGUGAAAGUUGCUACGGUGCUGAAACUACAUCUGACAGGUAAGUUAUA